UCAGAGAUUAUUUUUGACCUUUGAAAGCGGUGUCUGGAAAUACUUUUGUUAGAGCCAGUAACAAGUAAAAAAGGAUCCUAAGGAGUGGUGACAUCUCCUAGAUAACAGCAAGUGAUCAAUCGGUUGCCAGGUAGCAGAGGAUGGUGAUUAUGCAGCUGGAGUUUUUAAAAUGUGGUGUCUCGGAGGACUAGAAAAGUUAGGAUUUAAAAAAGUUUUUUAAUAUGUAUUAUUUUUGAGCAGAGGGGAGGGGCAGAGAAAGAGGGAGACACAGAUUCCGAAGCAGGCUUUAAGCUCUGAGCUGUCCGCACAGACCCUGAUGGGGAGCUUGAACUCACAAACCUGAGCCGAACUCAACAAUCUAUGAAAUCAUGGCCUGAGCCAAAGAUGGACGCCCAACCGAAUGAGCCACCCAGACGCCCCCAAGAAUUAGAAUUUUUGACCAGAGUCAAACUUGCUGGAAGGCUAGAAAAUGUGGUGAUCUGGUGUUUUAAGAUAGACCCGAGGUGAUAGAACUUCAACGAAACCUUGUAGAACGUCGGUUUUAGGAGUGACUAAUGUUAUAGAUCUGCCAAGGAAUGUACUUCCUCGAGUAGUAGGGUGUGCACUGUGUGUCCCCUGUACGCCAGGCCCCAGGGGACGCUAACGCUGUUCCUGAUUGGUUAACGUGCUCCAGAGCUAGACUCUGACCGCUACCCUGGAUUUUGACUGCCUGCUUCCACUGGACUGUAUCACUCACUCUUUUUUUUGUUGUUUGUUUUUAAUGGUUGGUUGGUUUGUUAAAAAGGAAAAAAACAGUAACUGAACCAAACCUACAAGAAGUCUUUGCCAAAAGUCAGUCAUGCUUUUUGCCUUUCAGAUCUAUGUAUUUUUUUCUUCCUAUAAACAAAGUGUCCUUUCUUCUACCCGUGGCCGAUCAGUCCCUCUAGGGUGACUGUUCUCAAGCUGCAUAUUCAGUUACUAAUUCUGGUUCUUUUUAAAGUUUAUUUGGAGGCAGAGUGCGCUAGCGGGGGAAGGGCAGAGAGAGAAUCUGCUGACAGCACAGAGCCCCACUUGGGGCUCGAUCUCAGGAACCGUGAGAUCAUGACCUGAGCUGAAAUCAAGAGUUGGAUGCUGAACCGACUGAGCCACCCAGGCGCCCCUGUGUCUCGUCUCCUUGGCAGCUGUGCCCUCCAGUGGAGGACCAUUUGCUAAGGUCACUAGUCGUCUCUAGUGUAAAAUUCAGUAGACGCUUUCAACUCACUUGACCUUUCUCGAGCUGGUGACUACUUCCUUCUUGAAACACUGGGAGGUGGGAGGCAGCUCAGUGGUGCUGCCCCGUCUUGUGUUUGUAUGUGUGGGCAGCCCCAGGGUCUGCUCUGCUCUCCCCAGAAUAAGCCCUCGUCAUUCUUGGGACUGCGGGUAUUCUUCCCGUGUUGGAGACUUCCAGAAUGUGCUGCUCUGAGCUCCAGACACCUGUGAAUGCUUCUUACACAUCUCAGUAUGUUGAAAACUGAACUUUGGGUGAUACCCAUAAAUCUGCAUUUUAGCGAUGGGGACCCCUCAGGCAGAAAACUAGGAAAUACCUUGGCUCUUUUUACCUAAUGCCUUUCUCCCUUCUAAUGUAUCACCAAGACCCCUUGAUUUCUGUCGUCAAAUUAAAUCUCAGAUUCAUCUACUUCCUAUUUUCUUGCCCCUGUCGAGGGGCAGCUAAGCUGCUCCUCUGGGUUUCACUCUUGGCCCCUCCCAGGCGAUUUUCCAUACAGCAGCCACGGUGAUCUCGUCAUUUCCAAGGCAGAGCCUUUUGUAGGCUUCCCAUCGCUCUGGGAUAGGUUUUUUCCUGUCUUAGUAUUUUUUUCCGCUGUGGUCCAGCCACAACUGGAAGAGUCCGUCAGACUCCCCUGCCGGCCCCUAGUAACGUUCUUCCGUCCGCUUAUACUCUCUGCCUGCUUAUUUUUUAGCUCAGAGAACAGCUUGUUGUCUUUCCCUCCGAAGUGUGCUCUGCCAUGAGUUCCUGUACUUGCUCUUCCCGCCCGUCAGCACAGUUUCUGUGUUUGUGGGACUUGGGCCAGAAGCUCUGAAGGCAGAGCCUGAAGGAUAUGCUUGGCUUUGCAGCCGCUGCCCAUCCUGCGGCCUGUGGCCCAGAGCAUUUGUCACGGUUUAUAGACAGCUUUACCUUGGGGUUUGUCUUUGUCUUAUUUUUAAAAAGCUCUUUGAAUGACAAGUGAAAUAGUUUUAAUAAUCUAUAACGUGUUGACUUUUUCAAAUCUGUGUCCCUUCCCCAUAGCUUGCUUGUGAUUUCUGUCCUGUGCCCUCCUCCUGGCAGCUUCGCCUGAUUAACACGGGGGCUUUGGACGCAUCUUUUGAAAACCAGACUCUGCUUUCUCGUCCUGCCCCAUAACCUGUUAGUUUUUGUUUCACGCCGGGAGUCACUGGCUGAACCUCCCUGUCACCAAGCCGUAAACUGGGACUUCUCUGUUCAGAACAUCUGUUCACAUCAGAUACGCUCCUGUGCCUCCCGUUACUGCUUCCUCACCUCAUUCCUCUGUCUUUCCAGUGCAGUGCCCACAUUGACAUCGGGGCAUCCUUUUGAAAACACGGAGAAUACUCUUACUUAAAAAUGUUUAAAAAAACACGGAGAAUACUCUUACUUAAAAAUGUUUUAAAAAACACGGAGAAUACUCUUACUUAAAAAUGUUAAACUUCGUGGGGUGCCUGGCCGGCUCGGUCAGUAGAGCAUGUGACUCUUGAUCUCUGGGCUGUGAGUUUAAACCCCACUUUGUGUGUGGAGUCUACUUAAAUAAAAAUAAAUAAAUUGGGGUGCUUGGGUAGCACAGUCAGUUGAGCGUCCAACACUUGAUUUCAGUUCAGGUCACGAUCCCAGGGCUGUGGGAUGGAGCUGUGUUGGGCACCACACAGAGCGUGGAACCUGCGUAAGAUUCUCUCCCUCCCUCUGCCCCUCUCCCCCACUCAUGCAUACUCUCUAAAUUCAUUAUUAAAAAUAAAUAAAAAUACUAAAUUUCUUAACGGGCCCGAGACCCUUUAACAUCUAACUCUACAAAACGUUCAUUUUCUGUUCCUACUAGUCAUUUUUUUUUAUUUAAAAAAAAACAAAACUUUUUUUUUUUAAGCUUGUUCAUUUUUUUUUUUUUUUUAAUUUUUUUCUUAACGUUUAUUUAUUUUUUUGAGACCGAGAGAGACAGAGUAUGAACGGGGGAGGGUCAGAGAGAGAGGGAGACACAGAAUCCGAAACAGGCUCCAGUCUCCGAGCUGUUGGCACAGCCCGACGCAGGGCUCGAACUCACAGACCACGAGAUCACGACCUGAGCCAGACUCGGACGCUCAACCGACUGAGCCACCCAGGCGCCCCAAAAGUUUGGGCAGGGAGAGAGGAGACACAGAAUCCAAAGCAGGCUCCAGACUCUGAGCUGUCAGCGCGGAGCCGGAUGUGUACCUUUUUGAACAUUCGAACGCGAGAUCAUGACCUGAGCCAAAGUCAGAUGCUCAACCGACUGAGCCACCCAGGCGCCCCUGUUCCUACUAGUCAUUUCUACUCUGGACUCCUCUUGACUCCAGACCUUUGUGCUUUCCUUGCCUCACCUGGCAGGCUGCAUGUUGCUUCCCAAUCAUCUCUGCGUUGCAUUGUAGCUAAUGCUUUUCCAGGGUAUGGUUGACAGUGUUUCCCUGCCAGAUCCUUAAAGGCAGGGAUGCCAUUCCUUGGUUCUCAGGAACUCACAUUGGGGUGGGGGAGAACUAAGUGGUAAUUUUAAUUUCUUGGACUUUUCUGUAAGUUGAUUUAAAUUUUGGUGACAGAAGGGAAAGAAUGUUUGAUGCAAUUUAAUCUGCAGUUAUGUUAUGUGAAGUAUUUAAUGGAAAUUGGAACUAGAUUAACCACACAGAAGAUAACUUUGGGUUAUUACCCAAAUACUUCAUCU